rnacentral:tRNA from 1 species
UAUUAUUUUGUUUCUAAAGGUUUUGAAAACCUUAUCUGGGGAUAAAAUUAUCCCAACUUUAC